CAAUUUUCUUCAAUACUUAAAAAUAAGAUAGUAUUUAUUUCUUUAAGGGCGCUUUUAGUGUUGAAUGAGGUAUACGCUAAAGACAACACAAGCGAGUGUAACUAAAAAUAACUUAAGUAUAUGUCUUAGUACAUAUGAUAACUUCAAUCCAUGCUCUGCUACAGCAUAAAGUAAACAUAAUUGUAUAUCAAGGCAAACUACUACUAAGUAUAGAGGGUGUAGUGUAUUCUUCACUUCUUCCAGCUAUUGGACGUACUUAAGCACUUGCUGCUCUAUAAUGCCUAGCCCAUGUAUCUCUCUGGCUCCCUCCUAAUCCUCUUUGGUCUAUCAUGCAAGGUUGGCUUGAUGUGUUCAGAUGGUUUUUUCCUCUUCUUUAUGCAAUCGGUCCUUUCCUUCCUUAUUUUGCUUCUAGUUUUGGCGUUCCAUUCUUCAUCACUGUCACCUUUGAUGGUACAGUUGUCAGCAUGACUAUUGUUGUCUCCCUGCAUAUAUGCAAAAACAAUGUUAUUAUUGAAACAUUUGUGAAUUUCUGUAAGUACAUGGUAGAUAUUAAGCUUGUAUAUCAUCGACAUAUUUACCUUGUUCAUUCUUGUACUUUCUUCAAUUUUGUCGUUCCUAGUAUCAAUUUUUGUACUGCUGAUUGCAUUACCUUUGUCCUCUUGCUGGUAAGAUAGAAACCAUCUGUUAUAUCUUGGAACUAAUAUAUUUUCAAUAAUUGAUUGUUUGUUCUUUUUGUUCAUAUUACCUCAAUGUUGUUUUCUUCAAUUGUGAAAUCACCAUCUGUGUCACUUCCUUCCUCUUGUACCUGUAAGAUAGAAUGUGGCAAUUUAUCAAUGUAUUAUGAAAUGCAUACAUAAUAUCAGACUAAAGUGGGGCGAACCCCCUUUUCGAAAAAAUACAUAAUAUCAGACUAAAGUGGGAAAUGACCAAUACACUGAUGGAUUAUUAUUUCAUACCAAUGAUUGUAUAUUUUGGAAAUAAUAUAUUUAAAGUUAAAUCCUUUUCCUUUUAUUUGAUAGUACCUCAUUAUUGGUUUCUUCAUUGGCGGAAUCAUCAUCUGUGUCAUUUUCUUCCUCUUGUACCUAUAAGAUGGCGAUAGUUUAAAUGAACAUCAUAGAGCAUAUUGUUAAUAGAUAUUUAAGGUGGAAUGUAUUCAGCUAUAAUUCUGUAUAGUUUUUUUGAGCUUCACAGAAGCAACCUUGGUCGCAGCAUUUUUAUAUCCCUCGUUGUGUUUGUCAUUUCUUAAAUCUUUGUUAUAUCUUCGAUCUGCGGUUUCAUCAUUUUCUUCUUCUUCUUCUUCUUCUUCUUCUUCUUCUUCUUCCUAUACAUAAAAUAUCACGAGUUAGAACACAAUAGUACUUUGUGUUUAUCUGGAAAACAAUACAGAAAAAGUAUGUACAUUUCACGUCACUAUUGAAUUUGUUUUUGUUCAUAACUCUUCUGAGUUUCUUGUUGGUAGGCCUUCUGACAUCUGUCUUGUUUUGUGUGCGGUCUUUAUCUGAAUCAUCUCCUAUGGUAAUUAUAUCUGAACUUGUAGCUUGAAUGUUUGCUACCUCCUUUUCAAAUACAUUUUCCUGUUUUUUCGGCGAUGUCAUAAAAUAGUAAAGUAAUUUCAAAGAAUACCUCACUAUCGAAUUUUUCUGUAAGUACCUUUGUUUUAUUUCGCGAAGCCUUUCUUUUAAAAUCCUGUUUACAUCUCUUUUGUUUUGUCUCUCCUUUUAUCUUCUGCAAAAACGUUUUUAGCUCUUCAUGUGCGUUUUUAUGUCAUAAAUAAAUAGGCUGUAAUCAAUUAUCAAUGCAUAUACAGGGAGAUAAUGUUUUCAAUUUGUUACCUCAUCGUCAGGAGCUUCAAUUUUAACAACUGUUCUGGAAGCAACCGGUCUCCCAUCUUUUACAUAUCUUUUGCUAGACUUCUGUAUCCUCUGUUGUUGCUUUUUGUUGGAUGAUACUGAGGUUUCCUUUCUGCACAUAUCCUUCUUCUCAUCAGUCGUUGCAUUCUUGGAGGAGUGGUUCACCUAUAAGAAUGAAAAUUAUUUUUUAACAUUUUAAAACAAAAAAUGCACACUUGUGAGAGCAAAAUCAUUAAUUAGUGGGAACACCUUGUUAUACUCAAAUGUGCAUGUGCAUACCUCUUCAAUCAUUUCAUUUGAAUAUUCCAUCUCAAGUUUUUCAUCAACUUCAAAAGUGUAGCUCACUUUAAAAUUUUCCAUACACUCUUCUAGAUUCUUUGAAUUUAACUUCAGUCGAAAUAUGAGUGUUCUGCCAUAAAGGUUCUGAAUAACAUCUGGUAUUGUGUUGUUGAAUCCCUCCUGCUCUAAUAGGGUCGAUGCAGAUAUGUUGCCUAAAAGACUCUUUGCUACCUCAUUAAACAUCACGAAAGUUGUUGUUGCCGUGCCAUCGUGUACCUUCAGUUUAAGUAGGUACCUAAUAUGAUGUUGUCAAGUUAUUACUGGUAUAUUAUUAAAACAAAUGGAACCGAAGACAAUCUAGUGCACAACAUGCUCACCGCAUGUCUGGAUUUUGAGCUACUUCAUGACAGGAAGUGCAAAUAUAGUUAUCUUGUUCCUUUUUUGUAGCACAAAAGCAAAGUUUGCAUGCCAUGUACCACCAGCCUUUAUCUGUUAUAAUAUCAUCAAUUGUUGCUUUUGUUGUGCAUACAAAUUCCUAUUAAAGAGAAAAUAUAUGAGAUUAUUACAUAAUAAUGUACAAUAAAUAAGGUACAGUAUGAUGAUCAAGGUUAGAGGGAAACCUUUCUUUUAACGUCAGCAUAUCGCAGUUCUAUAAUUUCCCUCAAUGUUUUUCUGUUGUACAACAUUUGCUCUUCAAUCGUUCCUUGGGUGCUUUCGUCGAUUUGAAUCAUUGUUGGAAUAACAUCUCUUUCACAAUACCUAUAAUAGGUCACAACAUAAGCACAUAAACUUGUAACUUCAAAGACAUACAUAAUUGCAUUAUUAUAUACCAUACCUCUCAAUAAUUUGGCCUGCUUCUGGAAUUUCAGGGUUGAGGAAGACUUUAGAUGCAUUUGUUGUGCGUAGUGAUAGCCCUGGUAACAAAUUGUCAGUAAUUUGGAUUUAAGUUUUCACAAAAAGAUUGUAGUUCUCAACAUUGAAUUUUCUGACCAAAUUUGACGUGACAAUCACUAUUAUUUGUUUGUGCAAAAGACUUUCAUUCACCGUAUUUGCUAAAAUAUCCCCCAUAGCGUGAUCCGGAUCGUUUCAUCUCUGCAUGGAUUUAAUCAUGAAAAAGUGAUAUAAAAUCAUCUAUGCAAUUUUAAAAAAUCUAUAGUAAUAUAAUCACUUACUCUAGUAUAAGGAUUUCAAUCUCAUGGAUGUUUGAAGUUUGCGCCAUGCCCGUCCCUUUAUUUUUUUGUACUUGCUCUAUUGGUUUCAUUGCAGUAAGCAAUCCAAUGACAUCUGCACAUAAUCAUAUUUUAAAAUCUAGCUAGUUUGCCAAUGCUUCUUCUUGCAUAUGGAUUAUGAUCAUACUUGAGCACUGUUUAUCAAUAUUCACCCUACUAUCCAAGGUAUCACCAUCAGCAAAUUCGAAGUGGUGAUCCAAAAACUUGGAUUUUCCUUCAUCCACUUCCUUCACUGUUGUAUCAUAAACAAAACUGAUUUUGAGAUUGUUCUUCAAUGGUCGGUAUUUUUCAUACUCCGAGACUUUGAAGGUCUUAAUUAUGUAUAUGAAGUCCUCUUUAAUUUUUGAUUUAAAUUUAUUGACCAGUUUGCUCCCAAUAGAAGCAUGGAUCGCAUGGCCCUACAUAGAAAGAAAAGAUCAGCAAACUUUGGAAAGGAUAAAUUGAAGAGACAUUAUAUAUAUGGAGCUGAUGCCAUGACGACAGAAGCCCACUAUGACAUCUGAGUGUUGAUUAGUAAAAUGGAGCUGAUGCCAUGACGACACAGAAGCCCACUAUGACAUCUGAGGUUGAUCAAAUAUGGAAACCAUCUAUAUGGAACUUACUUGUUGUAGACCGUUUGCUUGACGGAACUAUCUUGUGGCCGCUGGAGGAAGACAAUUCCCAUUUGCUCGACAGAACUAUCUUGUGUUUGCUGGAGGAAGAUAAUUCUGGAGUCGAAGUUUUGGUCGCUGGAGGAAGACGAUGUGGGAGGAAGAUGAUGCAGAAGUUGUACUCUAAAAUCUAGAGGACAAUGAUCCUUUCAGGUCGUGGGGAAGGUCUUAUAUGGAUGCGUGAGUUUCUCUCAUCUGCACGAUUGAAAGGAAUUUUUUUUGGACGCAGCCUGGACAGAUAUUUCAUUUGGAGACUUUUUUUUAAUAAGAAACCAAGAGAUAUGGUAGUUCUGAUUUGUUUCGGUACAUCCCGUUUGUAGACAACACGAUUGAAAGAAAGCUUUUUUGGUCGCA